rnacentral:pre_miRNA from 1 species
CUGUGUUAAGCUUUGAGGCAGUGUAGUUAGCUGAUUGUGCAUUUAUAUAACUUACAAUCACUAGCUACACUACCAUCAGAAUUUAACACACA